AUUACAGAGCGUGAGGUCCAGUCGUGGCGUCUGCCGCGUGCUGGGCCGACCCUCCCACCCGUGUCGAUAUGUAUCUUGUUGCUUUGGCGGGCCGGGCUGUGUCGUCGCUGCCCGCAAGGACAUGCGUCGUCCGCCCACCGGUUUCGGCUGGAGCGCGUCCGCCAAAGACCUAAUCAAAACUCAUGUUGUCUAUGUAGUCUCAGCUUUAUUAUUAAAUUGAUAAAACUUUCAACAACGGAUCUCUUGGCUCUGGCAUCGAUGAAGAACGCAGCGAAAUGCGAUAAGUAAUGUGAAUUGCAGAAUUUAGUGAAUCAUCGAAUCUUUGAACGCACAUUGCGCCCCUUGGUAUUCCGAGGGGCAUGCCUGUUCGAGCGUCAUAACACCCCCUCCAGCUGCCUUUGUGUGGUUGCGGUGUUGGGGCACGUCGCAGUGCGGCGGCUCUUAAAAAUAGUGGCGGUCUCGGCGUGGGCUCUACGCGUAGUAACUUGCUUCUCGCGACAGAGUGACGACGGUGGCUUGCCAAAACCUCUAUUUGUUCCAGUCACAUGGAUCACAGGUUGACCUCGAAUCAGGUAGGAAUACCCGCUGAACUUAAGCAUAUCAAUAAGCGGAGGA
rnacentral:rRNA from 1 species